rnacentral:rRNA from 1 species
AUUGAACGCUGGCGGCAUGCUUUACACAUGCAAGUCGAACGGUAACAGGGUGCUUUCUCCGCUUUCGUUUUUCCAACUGGUGUGUAAUAUAUCUGUACGUACCCAAGUUUUUUGUAUUACGUAUCUUUAGUUACGCUACUACCUCAUACUAUCUUAUUUUGCAACCAUGGGUCCUUCGGUCCUUUUGCUCCUUUAUCUGCCUAUUUCUGAUUAGCUAGUUGGUUAGGUAAAGGCUCACCAAGGCGACGAUCAGUAGCUGGUCUGAGAGGACGACCAGCAAAACUGGAACUGAGACACGGUCCAGACUCCUACGGGAGGCAGCAGUGGGGAAUGUUGGACAAUGGGGGAAAGCAUGAUACAGCAAUGCCGCGUGAGUGAAGAAGGACUUCGGGUUGUAAAGCUCUUUUGUGAGGGAAGAAACGGGAUUGGAUAAAAUCCAGACCUAAUGACGGUACCUGAAGAAUAAGCACCGGCUAACUACGUG